rnacentral:rRNA from 1 species
AUGAGCAAUACGAGAUCAGGCACUCAAGGUGCUUGCUUUGCAUCCUCUCCUAUCUGUCUUCACCGGGCUCUGUCUGUGCUCCUUCUUACACGGGACCGCUUAGGUACUCUGUGUCCGUUGCGGCUGGCUGGAAGGAGCAGAAAGCAAGAAUGCCACCUUUCUGCACUCCCGAUGUACGACGAGGACGCACUUGCCGAUGGUAGCACCCUGUAG